rnacentral:lncRNA from 1 species
GUGUAAUUAGUUGGUCACAUAACUGCAAUUAGUUAGAACUUAGAAGUCAGUCUAUAAAUAUAUAGCAGUUUCAUUAGUGUAAUAGGUAAUACAUAUGAAACAAGUUGGAAUUUUGUAUGAAGCACACAAACCAUUAAUAAAUCAAUCUCAUCAAUUCUAGACUAACUGGAGUUGGAAUAAACAACAAAGUAAUUCUCGACACUCAGGAAAGAAGGGUAUUAUGUCUUAAGGAUGUUAACGAGGGGAUAACUCAGUUAUCGAUGCCUCAUUAUGUGAUGAACUAAUAGAUUUACUUUUGGCUAAUUCUCUAGGUCCUGAUGAUCUUGAAUUGUAUUCUUGAAUAAGUGAAAUCUCUGAACUAAUAUCGUUGUGUGUAUAGUAUGCAGGCCCUGAAGGCAGGGGAAGAUUCAGAGAUAGGCUACUGAGCAUGAGAACUACUGCAGCCAUGGUUGGUCUAUCAGAAAUAUUUUCUUGAACGCACAGUAAUGCUAUGUGAAUGCAUCUCAUUAUGUCACGAGCCAUUCCUGAGCUUCCCCUCAACAUGGGGUCUAUCAAAUUUGUAGUUGUUUCUUCGCGCCAGUUCAUCCAAGCCUGUCACAUUUUAAUUCAGAGUUUGAACUCUUACAUUGACAAUGUAAAAGACAUUGAUGCAAAGGAUGGUCUCCCA